rfam:Dipodomys ordii contig_23076, whole genome shotgun sequence.
GGUGGCUCAGUGGUAGAGUGCUUGCCUUGCAUGCAUGAGGCCCUGGGUUCAAUUCCUCAGCACCU